UGGUGCAUGGUUGUCGGUCAGCUCGUGUCGUGAGAUGUUGGGUUAAGUCCGCAACGAGCGCAACCCUCGACCUUAGUUGCCAGCAUUCAGUUGGGCACUCUAAGGUGACUGCCGGCUAAAAGUCGGAGGAAGGUGGGGAUGACGUCAAAUCAUCAUGCCCCUUAUGACCUGGGCUACACACGUGCUACAAUGGGCGGUACAAAGGGUCGCGAACCCGCGAGGGGGAGCCAAUCCCAAAAAGCCGCUCUCAGUUCGGAUUGCAGGCUGCAACUCGCCUGCAUGAAGCCGGAAUCGCUAGUAAUCGCGGAUCAGCAUGCCGCGGUGAAUACGUUCCCGGGCCUU
rnacentral:rRNA from 1 species